rnacentral:rRNA from 1 species
AGUGAACGCUGGCGGUAGGCCUAACACAUGCAAGUCGAACGGCAGCACAGUAAGAGCUUGCUCUUACGGGUGGCGAGUGGCGGACGGGUGAGGAAUACAUCGGAAUCUACUUUUUCGUGGGGGAUAACGUAGGGAAACUUACGCUAAUACCUCAUACGACCUACGGGUGAAAGCAGGGGAUCUUCGGACCUUGCUCGAUUGAAUGAGCCGAUGUCGGAUUAGCUAGUUGGCGGGGUAAAGGCCCACCAAGGCGACGAUCCGUAGCUGGUCUGAGAGGAUGAUCAGCCACACUGGAACUGAGACACGGUCCAGACUCCUACGGGAGGCAGCAGUGGGGAAUAUUGGACAAUGGGCGAAAGCCUGAUCCAGCCAUACCGAGUGGGUGAAGAAGGCCUUCGGGUUGUAAAGCCCUUUUGUUGGGAAAGAAAAGCAGCAGGUUGAUACCCCGCUGUUCUGACGGUACCCAAAGAAUAAGCACCGGCUAACUUCGUG